rnacentral:rRNA from 1 species
AACGAACGCUGGCGGCAGGCCUAACACAUGCAAGUCGAACGCUCGUAGCAAUACGAGAGUGGCAGACGGGUGAGUAACACGUGGGAACCUUCCCUAUGGUUCGGAAUAGCUCAGGGAAACUUGGGGUAAUACCGGAUAAGCCCUUCGGGGGAAGGGAUUUAUCGCCAUUGGAUGGGCCCGCGUCGGAUUAGCUAGUUGGUGAGGUAACGGCUCACCAAGGCAACGAUCCGUAGCUGGUCUGAGAGGAUGAUCAGCCACACUGGGACUGAGACACGGCCCAGACUCCUACGGGAGGCAGCAGUGGGGAAUAUUGGACAAUGGGCGCAAGCCUGAUCCAGCCAUGCCGCGUGAGUGACGAAGG